AGUGAACGCUGGCGGUAGGCCUAACACAUGCAAGUCGAACGGCAGCACAGUAAUCGCUUGCUCUUACGGGUGGCGAGUGGCGGACGGGUGAUGAAUACAUCGCACUCUACUUUUUCGUGGGUGCUAACGUAGGGAAACUUACGCUAAUACCGCAUACUACCUCCGGGUGAAAGCAGGGGAUCUUCGGACCUUGCGCGUUUGAAUGAGCCGAUUUCGGAUUUGUUAGUUGGCGGGGUAAAGGCCCACCAAGGCGACGAUCCGUAGCUGGUCUGAGAGGAUGAUGAGGGACAGUGGAAGUGAGACACGGUACAGAGACCUACGGGAGGCAGCAGUGGGGAAUAUUGGAAAAAGGGGGGAAGCAUGAUCCAGGGAUAGCGGGUGGGUGAAGAAGGGCUUGGGGUUGGAAAGCCGUUUUGUGGGGAAAGAAAAGAAGCAGGAAAAAAGAAGGCUGGUGUGACGGUACCGAAAGAAGAAGCACCGGCUAACUACGUG
rnacentral:rRNA from 1 species